rnacentral:rRNA from 1 species
UACAGAGGUGGCAAGCGUUGUUCGGAAUUACUGGGCGUAAAGGGCGCGUAGGCGGUUCGUUAAGUCCUGUGUGAAAUCCCCCGGCUCAACUGGGGAACUGCACAGGAAACUAGCGGGCUUGAGUUCGGGAGAGGGAAGCGGAAUUCCGGGUGUAGCGGUGAAAUGCGUAGAUAUCCGGAGGAACACCGGUGGCGAAGGCGGCUCCUGGACCGACACUGACGCUGAGGCGCGAAAGCUAGGGAGCAAACGGGAU